rnacentral:rRNA from 1 species
ACUGUUUGAUGAUGGCUCAGAUUGAACGCUGGCGGUAUGCUUAACACAUGCAAGUCGAACGGUAACAUGGGCGCUUGCGCCUGAUGACGAGUGGCGGACGGGUGAGUAACGCGUAGGAAUCUGCCUGGUAGUGGGGGACAACUUGUGGAAACGCAAGCUAAUACCGCAUACGCCCUACGGGGGAAAGCGGGGGCUCUUCGGACCUCGCGCUAUCAGAUGAGCCUGCGUUAGAUUAGCUAGUUGGUGGGGUAAAGGCCUACCAAGGCGACGAUCUAUAGCUGGUCUGAGAGGACGAUCAGCCACACUGGGACUGAGACACGGCCCAGACUCCUACGGGAGGCAGCAGUGGGGAAUAUUGGACAAUGGGCGCAAGCCUGAUCCAGCAAUACCGCGUGUGUGAAGAAGGCCUGAGGGUUGUAAAGCACUUUCAAUUGGGAGGAAAAAAUAAGGUUUAAUACGCCUUAUCUUGACAUUACCUUUAGAAGAAGCACCGGCUAACUCCGUGCCAGCAGCCGCGGUAAUACGGAGGGUGCGAGCGUUAAUCGGAAUUACUGGGCGUAAAGCGUACGUAGGCGGUUAAUUAAGUCAGAUGUGAAAGCCCCGGGCUCAA